CAGUGCAAGGUGGAGUGCAAGGAGGGGAGAGGGCUGCAAUACAAAGCACAGGGCAACCACAAAAGAGGGUGCAUUGCAAAGCAGGGGUGCUAAUUCAAGGCAGAGGGCAGGGAGCUGUGUGUCAGUGCAGUGCAAGGGAGUGUAAGAAAAAAGUACAACAAGGUGCAAGGAUGUGGGGUUAUAUGCAAAGUGGGGUGCUAGGAGGCAAGAAGAGUGCACAGAGGUGAGAGUGCAAUGCAAGGCAGGGCACAAGGAGGCUGGAGGUGCAAUGCAAAGGAGAGUGCAAAGAGAUGGCAUGGGCUCCUGAAGCGCUGGAGAUCGGCCGUCCUUGGGGAAGGCCGCUCGGUUUAGCCUCCUGGCGGAGCUGGGUGCGAGGAGGAAACGUCAGUUCUGCUGCAGCAACGUGGUGGAAGUGAUCAACAGCAAAUGUGACUGUGAAUUCCAGUGAAUCACCAGCGGGAGCAGGAACCAGCUAGAGAGGUAAACCCAGACAGAAACACCAGAAGGAGGGCUGUGUUUUCUGAAGUCGUGCAAGGAAUGAGUAGCUGAUUUGUUCAGAGAAACCUGGAAUGGGGACCUUGCUGUACCUGCUGGCUGAAGACCAUAUGGCUCCAAGUCUAGAGGUAGUACGGAGAAGUCCUCAAGUUUAUAAAUAAUGUUGGAUUUAAGAGGCUUUUUGCUCCUUCCGCUAAGGCAGGAAAGGGAAGUAGCCAUCUUCUCCUGUUGUGCUGCUGGGAUUACCCGGGAGCUGCAGCCUGACGUUCUAAAUGAACAUUUAAGCUGUUCAUCACACUUUAUUAAUAGAUGUCAAAAUGUUUAACUGUGGAAGUAAAUGCUAUUUUAGAGAAAUGGA